rnacentral:rRNA from 1 species
UCGGAGCGUGUGGUUUAAUUCGACGAUACGCGAAGAACCUUACCUGGGUUUGACAUCAAGGUAGUAGCAAGGUGAAAGCUGCGCGACCCUUCGGGGAGCCUCGACAGGUGCUGCAUGGCUGUCGUCAGCUCGUGUCGUGAGGUGUUGGGUUAAGUCCCGCAACGAGCGCAACCCUCGUCGUUAGUUACAAGUGUCUAACGAGACUGCUGGUUUCAAACCGGAGGAAGGUGGGGAUGACGUCAAGUCAGCAUGGUCUUUAUAUCCAGGGCUACACACACGCUACAAUGGCCGGUACAAUUGGUUGCCACACCGCAAGGUGGAGCUAAUCCUCAAAGCCGGUCUCAGUUCAGAUUGUCGUCUGCAACUCGACGGCAUGAAGGCGGAGUUGCUAGUAACCGCAUAA